GGCUGGUUAGCUCAGUCGGUUAGAGCAUGGGGCUGAUAACACCAAGGUCGAGGGUUCGAUCCCUGUAUUGGCCA